rnacentral:rRNA from 1 species
GGAAUAUUGGUCAAUGGGCGGGAGCCUGAACCAGCCAAGUCGCGUGAGGGAAGACGGUCCUAUGGAUUGUAAACCUCUUUAGGCGGGGAGCAAUGCCGGGCACGCGUGCCCGGAGGGAGAGUACCCGCAGAAUAAGCAUCGGCUAACUCCGUGCCAGCAGCCGCGGUAAUACGGGGGAUGCAAGCGUUAUCCGGAUUUAUUGGGUUUAAAGGGUGCGUAGGCUGUGAGGUAAGUCAGCGGUGAAAUGCCCCCGCUCAACGGGGUGAAGUGCCAUUGAUACUGCCUUGCUGGAAUGCGGAUGCCGUGGGAGGAAUGUGUGGUGUAGCGGUGAAAUGCAUAGAUAUCACACAGAACCCCGAUUGCGAAGGCAGCGUACCGGCGCCCUACUGACGCUGAAGCACGAAAGCGUGGGUAUCGAACAG